CCUACGGGAGGCAGCAGUGAGGAAUAUUGGUCAAUGGACGAGAGUCUGAACCAGCCAAGUAGCGUGAAGGAUGACUGCCCUAUGGGUUGUAAACUUCUUUUAUAAAGGCAUAAAGUGAGGCACGGGUGCCUUUUUGUAUGUACUUUUUGAAUAAGGAUCGGCUAACUCCGUGCCAGCAGCCGCGGUAAUACGGAUGAUCCGAGCGUUAUCCGGAUUUAGUGGGUUUAAAGGGAGCGUAGAUGGGUUGUUAAGUCCGUUGUGAAAGUUUGCGGCUCAACCGUAAAAUUGCAAUUGAUACUGGCAGUCUUGAGUACAGUUGAGGUAGGCGGAAUUCGUGGUGUAGCGGUGAAAUGCUUAGAUAUCACGAAGAACUCCGAUUGCGAAGGCAGCUUACUAAACUGCCACUGACAUUGAUGCUCGAAAGUGUGGGUAUCAAACAGGAUUAGAUACCCCAGUAGUC
rnacentral:rRNA from 1 species